UCCCUUGCCAAGGCAGCCGGCAGGCCGCCAACCAUCUCCCCUGCUCCCAUUUCCCACAGAAAGACUGGGUGAGGUCAGGGGAGGGCGGUGAGUCAGAGCUAAAGAACUUCCCGCGGGGGACAAAGGUCGGGAGGGUGGCACUCCUCAAAAUUCCGGGGGCGGGCAGAUUGGGCUGCUCCUCCUCCUAGGCACUGCUUAAGCCCUCCUGGUCCUGCAGACACACCUCUCACCACCAUGGAGUUUGACCUGUCGGCAGCCCUGGACUCCACUCCCAAGAAGCCGGAGGGGCAGGCCAGGUGGGAGACCCCAAGCACAGUCCCCCCAAAGCUCAGGGCGGGCCAGAGGCAGGCGCAGCUCAGAACCUAAGGCAUGGCCACGGCAGCUCCUCAGACUCUAGCAGCAGCAGCAGCAGCUCCAGCGACUCGGAGGCGGAGGGCAAGCCCCAUGCUGCCGGCUGCAAGCAGCGUGAACGCGCCGCGGACAAGGCCAAGAAGCCCAAGGUGAAAAAGGAGAAGAAGAAGGGCAAGGAGGCGCCCCACUGACAGCGGGCGG